rnacentral:rRNA from 1 species
CGGCCCUCGGCUGACGGCUCAGUAACACGUGGAUAAUCUGCCCUAAGGUGGAGGAUAACCUCGGGAAACUGAGAAUAAUACUCCAUAGGUCUAGGAGGCUGGAAUGCACUUAGGCUGAAAACUUCGGUGCCUUAGGAUGAGUCUGCGGACUAUCAGGUUGUAGUCAGGGUAAAGACCUGACUAGCCUACGACGGAUACGGGUUGUGAGAGCAAUAACCCGGAGAUGAUAUCUGAGACACGAUAUCAGGCCCUACGGGGCGCAGCAGGCGCGAAAACUUCGCACUGCGCGAAAGCGCGACGAGGGAAUCCCAAGUGUAUGCACGUUAGUGUAUACUGUUUCUUUGUCUAAAAAGCAGAGAGAGUAAGAGCUGGGUAAGACGGGUGCCAGCCGCCGCGGUAA